UCAGAUUGUUUCUCGGGUUAC
rnacentral:piRNA from 1 species